rnacentral:rRNA from 1 species
UACGUAGGGUGCGAGCGUUGUCCGGAAUUAUUGGGCGUAAAGAGCUUGUAGGCGGUUUGUCGCGUCUGCUGUGAAAAUCCGGGGCUCAACCCCGGACUUGCAGUGGGUACGGGCAGACUAGAGUGUGGUAGGGGAGACUGGAAUUCCUGGUGUAGCGGUGAAAUGCGCAGAUAUCAGGAGGAACACCGAUGGCGAAGGCAGGUCUCUGG